UGGGGAAUAUUGCACAAUGGGCGCAAGCCUGAUGCAGCCAUGCCGCGUGUGUGAAGAAGGCCUUCGGGUUGUAAAGCACUUUCAGCGGGGAGGAAGGCGUUAAGGUUAAUAACCUUGGCGAUUGACGUUACCCGCAGAAGAAGCACCGGCUAACUCCGUGCCAGCAGCCGCGGUAAUACGGAGGGUGCAAGCGUUAAUCGGAAUUACUGGGCGUAAAGCGCACGCAGGCGGUCUGUCAAGUCGGAUGUGAAAUCCCCGGGCUCAACCUGGGAACUGCAUUCGAAGCUGGCAGGAUAGAGUCUUGUAGAGGGGGGUAGAAUUCCAGGUGUAGCGGUGAAAUGCGUAGAGAUCUGGAGGAAUACCGGUGGCGAAGGCGGCCCCCUGGACAAAGACUGACGCUCAGGUGCGAAAGCGUGGGGAGCAAACAGG
rnacentral:rRNA from 1 species